rnacentral:rRNA from 1 species
CAGUAGCCACGGUAAUCCGUAGGUGGCAAACGUUGUCCGGAAUUAUUGGGCGUAAAGGGCUCGCAGGCGGUUUCUUAAGUCUGAUGUGAAAGCCCCCGGCUCAACCGGGGAGGGUCAUUGGAAACUGGGAAACUUGAGUGCAGAAGAGGAGAGUGGAAUUCCACGUGUAGCGGUGAAAUGCGUAGAGAUGUGGAGGAACACCAGUGGCGAAGGCGACUCUCUGGUCUGUAACUGACGCUGAGGAGCGAAAGCGUGGGGAGCGAACAGGAUUAGAUACCCCGGUAGUCCCUGUCUCUUAUAC